rnacentral:rRNA from 1 species
UUGGAGGGCAAGUCUGGUGCCAGCAGCCGCGGUAAUUCCAGCUCCAAUAGCGUAUAUUAAAGUUGUUGCAGUUAAAAAGCUCGUAGUUGAAUUUCGGGAUCAAAUUGUCGGUCGUGCCUCGGUACGAACUGGUAUUAUUGGUUCCUACCUUCUGAAGAACCGCGAUGUCAUUAAUUUGGUGUCGUGGGGAAUCAGGACUGUUACUUUGAAAAAGUUAGAGUGUUUAAAGCAGGCUUACGCUUGAAUACAUUAGCAUGGAAUAAUGAAAUAGGACGUUUGAUUCUAUUUUGUUGGUUUCUAGGAUUGACGUAAUGAUUAAUAGGGAUAGUUGGGGGCAUUAAUAUUCAAUUGUCAGAGGUGAAAUUCUUGGAUUUAUUGAAGACUAACUACUGCGAAAGCAUUUGCCAAGGAUGUUUUCAUUAAUCAAGAACGAAAGUUAGGGGAUCGAAGACGAUCAGAUACCGUCGUAGUCUUAACCAUAAACUAUGCCGACUAGGGAUCGGAUGAUGUUAAUUUUUUAAUGACUCAUUCGGCGCCUUACGGGAAAC